ACUCUUCUAGUUGAUCUGCCGGAGCUUCUGGCCGCCGCCGGAGCUGUUGCCGGGCCGGUUCGAAAUCGUAGUUGCCUCAUUGUGUUGUUUCGUGUUGCUAUGGUUAUUGCGAACGUGACUGGAAGCUGAGGUUUUGGCUGCCGGAAUUGUGGUUGUGGAUUUCGGGUCGAGGCGGAAAGGACUUUGUGGCGCGUUUGAGUUAUGGAUUUGCGUUUUGAGGAUAUGGGCGCAGAAGUUACGAAGAGUUCUUUUAGUUGUGGUUGAAAUGCUCUGUAUU